rnacentral:rRNA from 1 species
CCUACGGGGGGCAGCAGUGGGGAAUAUUGGGCAAUGGGCGCAAGCCUGACCCAGCAACGCCGCGUGAAGGAAGAAGGCUUUCGGGUUGUAAACUUCUUUUCUCAGGGACGAAGCAAGUGACGGUACCUGAGGAAUAAGCCACGGCUAACUACGUGCCAGCAGCCGCGGUAAUACGUAGGUGGCAAGCGUUAUCCGGAUUUACUGGGUGUAAAGGGCGUGUAGGCGGGAAAGCAAGUCAGAUGUGAAAACCAUGGGCUCAACCUGUGGCCUGCAUUUGAAACUGUUUUUCUUGAGUACUGGGGAGGCAGACGGAAUUCCUAGUGUAGCGGUGAAAUGCGUAGAUAUUAGGAGGAACCCCAGUGGCGAAGGCGGUCUGCUGGACAGCAACUGACGCUGAGGCGCGAAAGCGUGGGGAGCAAACAGGAUUAGAUACCCCAGUAGUC